rnacentral:rRNA from 1 species
UACGAAGGGGGCUAGCGUUGUUCGGAAUCACUGGGCGUAAAGGGCGCGUAGGCGGCUUGAUAAGUCGGGGGUGAAAGCCUGUGGCUCAACCACAGAAUUGCCUUCGAUACUGUCGAGCUUGAGACCGGAAGAAGUAAGUGGAACUGCGAGUGUAGAGGUGAAAUUCGUAGAUAUUCGCAAGAACACCAGUGGCGAAGGCGGCUCACUGGACGACUGUUGACGCUGAGGUGCGAAAGCGUGGGGAGCAAACAGG